CAAUAGCGUAUAUUAAAGUUGUUGCGGUUAAAAAGCUCGUAGUUGGAUCUCGGCAGGCAGGGGGUGGUUCGCUCUUAGCGCUACUGCCCCAUUUGCCUGUGUGAUUGGCGGAGGUUUCGGGGUGCUCUUCGUUGAGUGACCCGGGGCGCCGUCAGGUUUACUUUGAAAAAAUUAGAGUACUCGAAGCAGGCUUUUCACGCUUGAAUAUUCGUGCAUGGAAUAAUGGAAUAGGAACUCGUUUCUAUUUUGUUGGUUUUCGGAAAUCGAGUUAAUGAUUAAUAGGGACAAUUGGGGGCAUUAGUAUUCAGACGACAGAGGUGAAAUUCUUGGACCGUCUGAAGACUAACUACUGCGAAAGCAUUUGCCAAGAGUGUUUUCAUUAA
rnacentral:rRNA from 1 species